rnacentral:rRNA from 1 species
UACGUAGGGGGCAAGCGUUAUCCGGAUUUACUGGGUGUAAAGGGGGCGCAGACGGCGAUGCAAGCCAGGAGUGAAAGCCCGGGGCCCAACCCCGGGACUGCUCUUGGAACUGCGUGGCUGGAGUGCAGGAGGGGCAGGCGGAAUUCCUGGUGUAGCGGUGAAAUGCGUAGAUAUCAGGAGGAACACCAGUGGCGAAGGCGGAUGACUGGACGGCAACUGACGGUGAGGCGCGAAAGCGUGGGGAGCAAACAGG